AACUUUUGGAAAUGGAUCUCUUGGUUCUGGCAUCGAUGAAGAACGCAGCGAAAUGCGAUACGUAUUGUGAAUUGCAGAAUUCAGUGAAUCAUCGAAUCUUUGACCGCACAUUGCGACCGGUGGUAUUCCGCCGGGCAUGCCUGUUCGAGCGUCAUUUAAACCAAUCCAGCCUCGUGCUUGGGUCUUGGGCCUUUCGCCUCUGGGCGGGCCUUAAAAUCAGUGGCGGUGCCAUCUGGCUCUAAGCGUAGUAAUACUCCUCGCUAUAGACGUCUGAUGGUGUCUUGCCAACAACCCCUAAUUUUUACAGGUUGACCUCGGAUCAGGUAGGGAUACCCGCUGAACUUAAGCAUAUCAAUAAGCGGACG
rnacentral:misc_RNA from 1 species